rnacentral:misc_RNA from 1 species
GAUGAAGAACGUAGCGAAAUGCGAUACUUGGUGUGAAUUGCAGAAUCCCGUGAACCAUCGAGUCUUUGAACGCAAGUUGCGCCCGAAGCCAUUAGGCCGAGGGCACGCCUGCCUGGGCGUCACACGUCGUUGCCCCCCCAUCUACUCCUUCGGGAUUGCGGGGGGCGGAUGAUGGCCUCUUGUGCGCCUCGUCGCGCGGUUGGCCUAAAUGCCAAGUCCUCGGCGACGCACGCCACGACAAUCGGUGGUUGCGAAACCUCGGUUGCCUGUCGUGUGCGGUCGUCGCGCAUCGAGGGCUCGAAAAAAUUGCCGGGCUUCGGCUCGACUUUCAACGCGACCCCAGGUCAGGCGGGGUUACCCGCUGAAUUUAAGCAUAUCAAUAAGCGGAGGA